AGGGUUCGAUCAUGGCUCAGGACGAACGCUGGCGGUGCGCCUUAUGCAUGCAAGUCGAGCGAAGCUUUUCAGUAGUUUACUACAGAAAAUGACUGAGCGGCGAACGGGUGAGUAACGCGUGAGCAAUCUACCUUAGCUACAGGGAUAGCCCGAGGAAACUCGGAUUAAUACCUGAUAUUCUUUACAUUUCGCAUGAAAUCAAAAGGAAAGGUCAGCCGAACUAAGAUGAGCUCGCGUUCUAUCAGCUAGUUGGUGAGGUAAAAGCUCACCAAGGCAACGACGGAUAGCUGGUCUGAGAGGACGAUCAGCCACACUGGGACUGAGACACGGCCCAGACUCCUACGGGAGGCUGCAGCAGGGAAUAUUGCGCAAUGAGCGAAAGCUUGACGCAGCGACACCGCGUGUGGGAUGACGGAUCUAGGUUUGUAAACCACUUUCAGGAGGGAAGAAAAUGACGGUACCUCCACAAGAAGCCCCGGCCAACUACGUGCCAGCCGCCGCGGUAAUAC
rnacentral:rRNA from 1 species